rnacentral:sRNA from 2 species
CCGCCUGUCAUCUGGGGAGUAGCCAGCCGCAACCGGCGGGCCUGCACGUCAACAUACUUGGCCGAGAGGCUAUGGCGGCAGGGAACGGGACACCGUUCAGGCGAGACCAAUGACAUUGCCCCUCUGCCCGGCCGGGCGGGAGGCGCAAUGUCGUUGUUCUGUUGCUCGCCCGGCCCGGAGACCUUU